rnacentral:rRNA from 1 species
UACGAAGGGGGCUAGCGUUGCUCGGAAUCACUGGGCGUAAAGGGUGCGUAGGCGGGUCUUUAAGUCAGGGGUGAAAUCCUGGAGCUCAACUCCAGAACUGCCUUUGAUACUGAGGAUCUUGAGUUCGGGAGAGGUGAGUGGAACUGCGAGUGUAGAGGUGAAAUUCGUAGAUAUUCGCAAGAACACCAGUGGCGAAGGCGGCUCACUGGCCCGUAACUGACGCUGAGGCACGAAAGCGUGGGGGA